rnacentral:rRNA from 1 species
UACGUAGGGUGCAAGCGUUGUCCGGAAUUAUUGGGCGUAAAGAGCGUGUAGGCGGCCCGAUUAGUCCGCUGUGAAAGCCCAGGGCUCAACCCUGGAAUGCCGGUGGAUACUGUCGGGCUCGAGUCCGGAAGAGGCGAGUGGAAUUCCUGGUGUAGCGGUGGAAUGCGCAGAUAUCAGGAGGAACACCGAUAGCGAAGGCAGCUCGCUGGGACGGUACUGACGCUGAGGUGCGAAAGCGUGGGGAGCGAACAGG